AGAUAGAAAGUUCUGAACACAAGUGGAACACACUGAAGUGUAAAUAUAACUUGAAACGUUAUUGGUGCAGAAAAUAAUGUUUGAAACAAUCGCACCAUAAUCUCCCAUUAUUGUUGCGAGGACAUAUUUUAUUCCGAUGUUUUUCGAUUUACUGUGCUCCAUAACACUUAUUUCCCUCCAGAAAUCCUUCAAUAUUCCAUGUAUGAUUUAUACUUCGAUCACAUGUCAAUUUGAAAUUAUAUGGAGAUGUAACACUGGUGUUCAGCUUUGACCGUUGUACCGCCCAGCAGUAUUUUCAACUGAAUCAGGAAAACAAAAUAUUCAGCAUGAAAGGGAAAAAAAAAGAAGAAAAAAAAAAAACAGGCGAAGUGAGAAAAGUGAUUUUUUACCUGAUACUCUUGAAUCCAGGGCUACACAUGUAAGCCAAGCGGGAGUUGAGGAGAGGGAGAGAGAGAGAGAGAGAGAGAGAGAGAGAGAGAGAGAGAGGAAGGCAGACAGGCAUACAGACACAAAAUAGACAAAAGAGAGGGUUUAAAAAGGUGUUAGCAGAGGAGAGGAAACACAGUAUUUGACAGAAGAUGUUGAUUCAAGUGGUGAGUGAUUCAUCAGAAUUGUGGAUGCAUCUGUGGUCGGACACCACGUUUUGGAGCGCACGGGCUGGUUUCAUUGGCUUCAAACACGUUUCUCCGCAGAACUGUGAGGCAGCAUGCAAAGUCACUCCUAUUCACUCUGAUGUGCGGGAGCAGACUUUUUAAGAUCAGCAUUUUUUUAUUUCCCCGCUAAUUCUUCAUUUCUAUUCAGGGAAGAAACUCCUA